GACGAACGCUGGCGGCGUGGAUUAGGCAUGCAAGUCGAACGGUAGGAUACCUUCGGGUAUCUGAGAGUGGCGAACGGGUGAGUAACACGUAGGUGAUCUACCCUCAAGAUUGGGACAACCCAGGGAAACUUGGGCUAAUACCGGAUGAAAGCAGCAGUGAUGUUGUUUGAAAGGUGGCGUAAGCUGCCGUUUGGGGAUGAGCCUGCGCUCUAUUAGUUAGUUGGCGGGGUAAAGGCCCACCAAGGCGAUGAUAGAUAGGCGGCCUUAACGGGUGGUCGCCCACACUGGGAUUGAGAUACGGCCCAGACUCCUACGGGAGGCAGCAGUCGAGAAUAGUCUACAAUGGCCGAAAAGGCUGAUAGUGCGACGCCGCGUGAACGAAGAAGCCCUUCGGGUGUAAAGUUCUUUUAUUAUGUGAGCAGUGCUUUCUAUGUGAACAGCAUGGGGAGAGAGAUAUUAGCAUAUGAAUAAGCAACGGCUAACUCCGUGCCAGCA
rnacentral:rRNA from 1 species